AACAUUUGAUAAGUAUUAUCUAAAUGUUUAAUUAUUUACUGGGAAGCGAUCAUCAUUAUAUUUUACUAUAACAGACCCUGCGGUGACUAACCUGACACGGUUUCGCAUUAAAUAAUAGAGAGUUAUUGAGUGCCUACAUCCUACACGAUGAAACGACGAAUAGUCUAAGGCCCGCGUACACAGUAUAAGCCAUUUUUUUUUUUACAUACAAGGUAAUUUCGUUUACGGAAUGUUAUUGUUUGUCGGAUCUUUAUCGUUUUCAAACAAGUACCCUCCGUAGAUACCCGGUUUUUAAAAUGUCGUUAGGGC